AGCAGUCGCCACGGUAAAACGGAGGGUGCAAGCGUUAAUCGGAAUUACUGGGCGUAAAGCGCACGCAGGCGGUUUGUUAAGUCAGAUGUGAAAUCCCCGAGCUUAACUUGGGAACUGCAUUUGAAACUGGCAAGCUAGAGUCUUGUAGAGGGGGGUAGAAUUCCAGGUGUAGCGGUGGAAUGCGUGGAGAUCUGGAGGAAUACCGGUGGCGAAGGCGGCCCCCUGGACAAAGACUGACGCUCAGGUGCGAAAGCGUGGGGAGCAAACAGGAUUAGAUACCCGUGUAGUCCCUGUCUCUUAUAC
rnacentral:rRNA from 1 species